rnacentral:lncRNA from 1 species
CAAGGCCCGUGAGCCAGCCCAGGAGGCAGCUGGAAGCUCCUUCUUCACAGGCCCGCUAGGCCAGCAAUAACUCAGCUGCACUUGGGAGUAACUGUGAAGCACAGAAACACAGGCCACUGAUCCCCUAGGCGACGGAUCCUCUUAACCAGAUCCCAGAAGUGCCUGCAGCUUCCCCCAGACCGUGGACACUGGAGAAGUGCAAAGUAGGAGAGAGUGAAGUGGAAAGGGUUGUGACUGAACCAACUGCAGUUGUCAAACAUCUUCCAUUGGCUCAUUUCACAAAACACAGAACCACGUGCACAUGUCGUAGGCUUGGAAGAGGUUCCUUUUGAAAUUUAAGCAUCAUUUUCUCCCCAGACAAUCUAUUUUCAAGCGUACGUGUGAAUGCAGUGUCCUGGGGAGCAGAGACCACAGUGACUAAUCCUGCUUGAGGGAACAAGAGGAAAACUUUACCAAGGAGACAUCUGUCUUGCAGGCAGAGAGGAGGCAGCAGGUGGUGAUGGGAGAAGCUGUUGGACUUGCAGCCUCUCCCAGACACUGGGUAAACCAGCCAGCUGUUUCGUGACACGUGCCACAGUUUGGAAGAUGCACAAAGCUACCAGUCAGCAGUCGGUAGAGUCAGUGGGGAAUAUGGAGACCUAAAGGUCCCUUUUGUCAUAACCUCUGUCUGUGAAGCUCUUGAGGAAGACUGAGUGUUGCCAAUGGUGCAAUGCCAUCAGCCAGUGUCCAUACCAAAAGCACUGUGUCAAGACGCUGCAAGUCCCUCAGUGCUCUGUGCCUGAGUGGUGGCAUGCUCCACGCAGACACGACGGCCAUUACAUUCUCUCUGUCCCGCAGUGUUGUCAUCUGCACACCCAGAGUCUGCUUGUCUUACAAAGUCUCUCAAUAAUAGUCAAGGGCUUUAGUCUUUCAACCUUUGCCCAGAGUCUCACAUCUCUAAUAAAAACAGUUUGGGUUUGGGACCGUCAUAUCUCUAACAAUAGAAGGGUAUAGAUGCCAUGCUAGCCGCUCUAUUCUCCUAAUUAUUCCUAGCUUCCUCCCAAACCACACUCUCUCCUUCUUGUUUAGAAAGCAACAACCCCAAUGUAGACAAUGGAGAGGUGUUGACACACCACAUAGGUUCCCACUUAGCCAGCCAAAGAUACAUACUGCCCUCUGAUGUGUGUGUGUGUUCAUGUCACGUUGCCCUGACUCUGUCUUCUUCUAUGGUUCCUUCUUACCCCCACACUAAUCCAUCAACACACCAAGCCAACACAUCUCAGAUAAACUCUCCUUUCCCACUUUGGCUUGUUUUUCCUGAUGGCAGAAUGAGUAGGGAAAAGGUUGGAGUCCAGAAAAAGAGUUUCUUAAUUUUAUUCUCAGUUCUGACAUUUAAUCCCAUUUGACUUCCGAAUAAUACAGAAUCUCAAGGUUGGAAGGGAUCCCAAAAGUUCUUCUCUAGCUGGAUCUUUCCCAAUAUGUGAUCAUCC